rnacentral:ncRNA from 2 species
UUCUUAUCAAGAGAGAUGGAGGGACUUGGCCCUGUGAAAUCUCAGCAACAGACCUACGGGCACUGUGCUAAAUCCAGCGAGCGCAAAGCUUGGCAGAUGAGGA